rnacentral:rRNA from 1 species
GCGGCAGGCUUAACACAUGCAAGUCGAACGGUAGCAGGUAAGUACUUGUACUUAUGCUGACGAGUGGCGGACGGGUGAGUAAUGUUUGGGAAUCUAGCUUAUGGAGGGGGAUAACGACGGGAAACUGUCGCUAAUACCGCGUAGUAUCGGAAGAUGAAAGUGUGGGACCUUAGGGCCACAUGCCAUAGGAUGAGCCCAAGUGGGAUUAGGUAGUUGGUAGGGUAAAGGCCUACCAAGCCUGCGAUCUCUAGCUGGUCUGAGAGGAUGGCCAGCCACACCGGGACUGAGACACGGCCCGGACUCCUACGGGAGGCAGCAGUGGGGAAUAUUGCGCAAUGGGGGCAACCCUGACGCAGCCAUGCCGCGUGAAUGAAGAAGGCCUUCGGGUUGUAAAGUUCUUUCGGUGUUGAGGAAGGAUGUUGUGUUAAUAGCGCAACAAAUUGACGU